GACGAACGCUGGCGGCGUGCUUAACACAUGCAAGUCGAACGAAGUGGCGAACGGGUGAGUAACGCGUAAUCAACCUGCCCUUCAGAGGGGGACAACAGUUGGAAACGACUGCUAAUACCGCAUACUGAAGGAGGGGAUUGCGUCGGAAUAGCUAGUUGGGGGGGUAACGGCCCACCAAGGCGAUGAUCAGUAGCCGGUCUUGGAGGAGGCACCGCCACAUUGGGACUGAGACAACGCCCAGACUCCUACGGGAGGCAGCAAUGGGGGAACUUCCUCAAAGGACGAAAGUCUGAAUGAGCAACGCCGCGUGAUGUAUGACGGCCUUCGGGUUUUAAAGCUCUGUUAAUCGGGACGCGGUACCGGAAUAGAAAGCCACGGCUAACUACGUGCCAGCCGCCGCGGUAAUAC
rnacentral:rRNA from 1 species